CAGAACAAAGCCACGCAGAUGAGGAGGAGAUCUGGUUUGCACAAUCGUACCUAUGGAGAAGCACUCAGAGGUUGGGAGAUGGUUAUCACCAACCACGUGUCAACAUCUUCAAAACUCAUCUUGAUAGCAUCUUAGCUUGGGGGCCACAUGGAGGCUGAAUGGCAGGAAGCCUGUGAGCUCUGGGGUUGUGAAGGGAAAAGACACAGUCUGCAGCAGUGCCAGUAUGCACAUCACAGGAAGAAUUAUGGAACUCCAUAAUGAAGGAGGUUAUCAUCCAGGAGUUAUACCCAGCUUGUUUUUAAACCUGCAAAGGGAAGAUACUGUGAACAAAGCAGUGAUGGCUCUGAGGUUCCUCCCCAGGCACCAGGAGAGGAGUGGGGCUGUUUUGGAUCACCUGAGCACAGGGCUGGAUGCAACUGGGUGCUCAACAUCUAAAAGGGAUGGCGAAAUAAAUUACACAGAUCUCUGUGCAAGUCUGAUCAAGCUCUGAAA